ensembl:lncRNA
CUUUGUUUCUCUGUCAUGCUGGUCAAAUUGAACCCCACCAAGGAAGAGUAGCCAGAGUGCAUACUUGUAAGGUAGCCUGCUGCUCAGAGUGUUGGCCAGGGAUAAUGAAGAUCUGCAUGCUCCCACAAACUGCCUGAACCAGGUAGGACAGAGAUUUAAGGAAGGGGAAUAAUGCCAUGGAGCAGCGUCUGGGAGAGAGGGGUGAGAGACACAAGAGAACAGCCUUGCAGGUAGCCCUGAGGCUCCAGGCACACAGCAGCAGCUCCCUGCAGCCCAGAAGAGGCCCACAAAGGAGAAGGCCAUCCCCCUGCAGCCUGUGGGAUCUGCCCGUGCAGCUACAGUGGAGCCUGUGGGGCAGCAGUGGAUGAGGCUUGAAGGAGAGCACAGGAGCACCAUGUGAAAACAAGCAACAAGCUCAAGCCAACAUGUGGAGAUCAGUUGUGGAACUCCUUGCCGCUGGGUGCUGUGAACACAGCUUUUACUGGAAAUAAAAUGCACAAAAUUAUGUGGGAAAAUCCACAAAGAAACAUCAAAUAAAAGAUCUCUUCAUCAAAAUAUCUCCUGCCUAUGAACUGUAGGAGGUUGCUCAUCCAGCAACAUUUGGUUGUUUGCCAUUGCACUCUACUAGUGACAAGACACAAGCAAGAUAGACUAGUUGUCCCCAUGGACAUCAUUACACUCUCUUGUUGAAUUACAGAUGUAGUUUUAAAUAGCUGAAGCUUUAUUUGUAUUAUUUGUGUUUGUUUCGAAUACACAAAUAAACAUUCUAUAUAUAAAUUCUCAUCAGUGUUGGAAAAUGAUAAUGCUCCAAAGCUGGACACAGUCUCAAUGUGUCCAAAGCUAUCUUUAGGCGUACUUCAUAGUUUCAUUAAGUUGACAGGAUCACUUCUGUCUAAAACAUGUGGAAGCAAGAUGAAAAGUUAUCACAAAAAUACUGAAAAAUACAGCCCUUCUCAAAAAAUGUGUCACAGCUAUCAGAUAUAUUGUUACUAAUUUAGUACUCUGGCAACAGGGAAGCUUCCUAAUAUAUAUAAGUGUCAUUGCCAUUGAACGCUUCUCUUCUAGCACUAAUGGCAAUGGUGAAAAGGGAGAAAGAGCCUGGUGACAGUGAAGCAGGAAAAUGCUGAGCUUGAUUUAAAGUAAACUGUUCAAAAACCAGUUGCACGAUAAUAAAUGAUUACUGAAGCAGUUAAAAAAAAAAACUUUCCAGCCUAGAUCCCACAGCUGUUUAGGAGAGGAUUUGUUAGAGUGAAGAAUUGCAUACUCUUUCUGUAUUAACAUUUGUCUCUGUACUUAGCAACAGAUGCAAAUAAGGUGGAGAUAUAAAAAUCUAAUUUAUUUAGCCUAUUUACAUCUUUAAAUAUUACAGAAUUUGUUUUCAGCUACCUUCACAAUUGUUGAUAUGUACUUCUUUAUCUACUAUAUAAGAAACCCUAAGACUGCCUCAAACCAGUGUGCAAUGUUCUUCACUUCAGUCAAUGAACUUUAAAAUAAACUAACACAUUUUAACUGAAGUUUUGUUUAUCUCAAGCAGCACAUUUUAAUGAAAUCAAUACAUUCUUGCUGAAAGCUUCAUGAAUCCAUUGGAAAGAAUACAUUUUUACUGAAGCCAAUAUACAGUUUUAUAAUGUCUGUACGUUUUAGUGAAAGCAUGGCAAUACAUUUUAGCUAGAACCAAUAUUUUUCUCCAGGGCUGAUACCAAAGAAGCUUUAUUUUAUAGUGAAACAAAUGCAUUCUUAGUGAAACUACUAUUCCAUAUUCCUGAGCCAACAUUUUCAGGUUAAAUGAAAGCUAUGUUUUAUCGUAGUGAAGGAAUUACAUACUUUCAAGAUUAUCUUAAAGCAGGGAGUAUUGCAAAGCUUAUACUUUAGCAUGGACAUGAAAUAAGAAGCAUAGCACAAGAAGUCAUUUCUAGAUAGAUAUAUCUCCCUGGUUUUACAUUUUAUGUAGUCUUGCAACAUAUAUGUAUUCUAUGAAAUGAGUAACAAUAUAGAUAGUUUAUUUUCAUUCUCAAUAGACUGUCGCUAAAUCUUUUUUUUCCACUUUAUAUGCAAACUGACUUUAAGUAAGUAAGAAUUAUGGCUGAUUUACACCUCAGAGCAGAGG